rnacentral:lncRNA from 1 species
AUGACGGCUCACACAGAAGUUGUUCCACUGCUGUCUGGAACCAGAGACAAUAACAUGAUAUCAGCUCACUACAUACCAUGCCUGGAUUAUAGUACCAGAAGAAGAAGAGAGAAAAAAAAGAACCAUGGACAUGGAAUCGUGAAAGGUAAAGAAACACCGACUCUCCAAGCUCCCUUGCUGUAUUUAUGUCUUAAGAAUUGUAUCUUUAGUUUCAAAUUAAAAAUGAGUUGUCAGCUUCCCUUAAUAAUUAAUGUUGAAAUGAACAACUGUUUUAAGUACAACACAUUCCAUUUAAUGUUAAACAGUGUUAUAUUUACUGCAAUUCCACCUUUCAUCCUAAUGUCAGCCUUUAAAUCUUUAAUGCUUUAAUCACACUCCUUUUUCUGAUAUCCCUUGUGAGUUCCUCAAACCAUUGCCCACUCCUUCGUGAUAAGGUGGACAUUUUUUGCUGCAAGGGUUAGUCAGCAGCAAUUGUUAAUUAUUAAGGAAAACAAAAUGCAGCUGCUGGAAAAUUGUGUUUGUUCCCAGCAGGGCAUGUUACCUUUAAUCUCUGCUGACACUCAGGCAAGUGAAGUCAUAAAAGGGAGAUAAUGCAUUUCAAGAACAUGGCCCCAUAGAAAAUUAAAGAAUUUCCUAUAAAAUUAAUGACCCUAAUUACCAGAUGAUGCCUGCAUUUGCCUUUCAGGAAGUUAUCCACCUUUCUGAUAGAGAGCCUGGAAGAGGGGAAGCAACAGCGUGGAGCCCUAAGGAGCUGCCUUACUGCAGGCUGCGUGGAGUCAGAAGCAGCAGAAAGUCAAACCAUGUUCCGCAGGAGCUUCAUUCCUCCUGGAAAGCCAGGAGAAGAGAAACGAGCUAUCGUUUGUUAAGAAGGGACUAUGCAUAAGACAAUGUUUGGGGUUUGGGCCACUGCUUCACUAUGCGAGCCUUACUUUGCUUAUGUUAGACAAAGGCUAUUUAAAGGGUUGACUUCAGAUAUUUUAGAGUUCUUAAAAAAAUCCUUCAUUAAAUAUUGUCACAUAGAAUUGGACCUCCAUAUCUACGGGUUCCUCAUUCAUGAAUUUAACCAGCCAUAGAUAGAAAAUGACUAUUUUUUUUAAAUUGUGUUGUUCUAAACAUGUCAAAGUUUUUUGGUGUCAUUAUUCCCUAAGCAAUAUACUAUAAUAACUUUUUAUAUAGUAUUUAUUUUGUAUUCUACAUAAUAAGUAAUCUAGACAUGAUAUAAAAUAUAUGGGGAGGGCUGGUGCUGCAGCUCACUUGGUUAAUCCUCCGCGUGCAGUGCUGGCAUCCCAUAUGGGCACUGGGUUCUAGUCCCCGUUGCUCCUCUUCCAGUCCAGCUCUCUGCUGUGGCCCAGGAAGGGAGUGGAGGAUGGCCCAAGUGUUUGGGUCCCUGCACCUGUGUGGGAGACCAGAAGGAAGCACCUUGCUCCUGGCUUUGGAUUGGAGUAGCUCCUGCCGUGGCGGCCAUUUGGGGGGUGAACCAACGGAAGGAAGACCUUUCUCUGUCUCUCUCUCUCACUGUCUAACUCUGCCUGUCAAAAAUAAAAUAAAAUAAAAUGAAAUAAAAUAAUAAAAU